UCACUGGAGUGUAACAGAGGUUUUUGUACGACGGCUUCAUUGGAAUGUAUCACUGUGGUACACUUUCGGCGGAGGAACUAAACUCACUAUAACCGGUCCCACGGUGAAGCCCUCCGUGUCUCUGCUCCGCCCCUCCUCUCUGCAGCUGUCUGAGGGCUCCGCCUCUCUGCUCUGCCUGCUGUCUGGCUACUCUCCACAGGGGGCGCUGGUCAGCUGGACGGUGGACGGCUCAGAGGUGAAGGACGGGGUUCUGACCAGUGCAGAAGAAGAGAAGAACGGCCGCUACAGCCGCAGCAGCACCCUGACACUCAGCAAAGCACUCUGGGAAAAGGGGGAGGAGUUUAUCUGCAACGUCUCCCACGACAACGCGGUUCAGCCAAUCAGGUUGAGGAAGAGCGAGUGUGAAGGCUAGCAGCUCCAAGAUAGAAGUGAACAUAGAGCUGCUUCCACCUGCAUCUCCAAUAGAGUGUAAAUUCUACACAGUGCUGAUAUUUGUGUCUUUACUCUGGUCAGUGUGCUGUAGCUGUCCCCAUACUUUUGCUGUGCUGAAAUAAAGCUGGAUUUUGGA